rnacentral:hammerhead_ribozyme from 1 species
AUCUGGCUAACGGGUCCAAAAUAGGACGAAACGCGCGUCUUGGAU